UACGGAGGGUGCAAGCGUUGUUCGGAUUUACUGGGCGUAAAGCGCGCGCAGGUGGGUGACCAAGUCGGAAGUGAAAUCUCGAGGCUCAACCUCGAGGCUGCUCCCGAAACUGGUCGCCUAGGGACUGGUAGAGGCUGGUAGAAUUCCCGGUGUAGCGGUGGAAUGCGUAGAGAUCGGGAAGAAUACCCGUGGCGAAGGCGGCAAACUGGUCAUCAACUGACGCUGAGGCGCGAAAGCGUGGGUAGCAAACAGG
rnacentral:rRNA from 1 species